UUGGGAGGCUCCGAGUCUGCAAACUGAGCUUUCCAAGCCUCCACAAACCCCACUGGGUCCACCAUUUUGCAUCCAAGAAUAGACCAGGUAUGCAAGUGUUGAUAUAAUUUUGUGUAUUCAGGAGACAACGGUAUUGUUUUAUCCAAGUAUCCUAAAGAUUUCACAGUGCCCACCAAUAAGGAUACGGAAAAAGCUUUCCAAGUAAAAAUUCUGAGAGAGAAAUUGUCCCUCUGAAGGAAAAACUCAUUCUUAAAAUGGCAAUUUGGUUAAAUGGUAACAAGGGUAUUGACAUCCCUCAAUCUGAGGUUGGCAGAUGACCUGUAACAAAAGCAGAGGGCAAAGCAGUGGGUUUCCCUGUCUUCCUUCCCCAUGUUUGUGCAUCUCUUGGAGUGAGAUGACACAGGAAAUGCUGAUGAGUAUUGAAGUGAGAGGCUGGAUUUCUG